UACGGCUAGAGUUUGAUCAUGGCUCAGAACGAACGCUGGCGGCACGCUUCAUACAUGCAAGUCGCGCGAUUAAGGCCCGCAAGGGCGCAUAAAGCGGCGAACGGGUGCGUAACACGUGGAUAAUCUGCCUUUCGGUGGGGGAUAACGGCUGGAAACGGCCGCUAAUACCGCAUGUGGUUGCGAGGUCUUCGGGCCUUGCAAAGAAAGAGGCCUUUAAAGCCUUGCCGAGAGAUGAGUCCGCGCCCCAUUAGCUAGUUGGCGGGAUAACAGCCCACCAAGGCUUCGAUGGGUAGCCGAGCUGAGAGGUUGAUCGGCCACACUGGGACUGAGACACGGCCCAGACACCUACGGGUGGCAGCAGUAGGGAAUAUUGGACAAUGGGGGAAACCCUGAUCCAGCGAUGCCGCGUGGAUGAUGAAGGCCUUCGGGUCGUAAAGUCCUUUUCUGAGGGAAGAACUGUCUGGCGAGGAAAUGCGCUGGAUUUGACGGUACCUCAGGAAUAAGCAACGGCUAACUCCGUGCCAGCAGCCGCGGUAAUACGGAGGUUGCAAGCGUUGUUCGGAAUAACUGGGCGUAAAGGGAGCGCAGGCGGCUUGGUAAGUCUAAAGUGAAAUUCCAGGGCUCAACCCUGGACGUGCUUUGGAUACUGCCUGGCUUGAGUACGUGAGANGAGAUUGGAAUUCCANGUGUUAGCGGUGAAAUGCGUAGAUAUCUUGGAGGAACACCNGUGGCGAAAGCGGAUCUCUGGCACGUUACUGACGCUGAGGCUCGAAAGCAUGGGGAGCAAACNGGAUUAAAUACCCCGGUAGUCCAUGCCGGAAAAUUUUGNAGGAACNCCGGNGGCGAAAGCGGAUNUNUGGCACGUUACUGACGUUGAGGCUCGAAAGCAUGGGAAGCAANCGGGAAUUAGAUACCCCGGGUAGUCCAUGCNGUAANCGUUGUGCGCUAGGUGUAGAAGGUAUCGACCCCUUUCUGUGCCGCAGCUAACGCAUUAAGCGCACCGCNUGGGGAGUACGGUCGCAAGACUGAAACUCAAAGGAAUUGACGGGGGCCCGCACAAGCGGUGGAGCAUGUGGUUUAAUUCGAGGCAACGCGAAGAACCUUACCCAGACUUGACAUCCCAGGACCGCCUAUGAAAGUAGGUUUUCCCUUCGGGGACCUGGAGACAGGUGUUGCAUGGCUGUCGUCAGCUCGUGUCGUGAGAUGUUGGGUUAAGUCCCGCAACGAGCGCAACCCUUGUCCUUAGUUACCAGCGGGUUAUGCCGGGCACUCUGAGGAGACUGCCGAUGAUAAGUCGGAGGAAGGUGGGGACGACGUCAAGUCAUCACGGCCCUUACGUCUGGGGCUACACACGUGCUACAAUGGUCGGUACAGAGGGACGCAAGAUCGCGAGAUGGAGCCAAUCCCAAAAAGCCGGCCUCAGUUCGGAUUGCAGUCUGCAACUCGACUGCAUGAAGUCGGAAUCGCUAGUAAUCGUGGGUCAGCUACACCACGGUGAAUACGUUCCCGGGCCUUGUACACACCGCCCGUCACAUGACCCGAGUUGGGUGCACCCAAAGCCACUGGCUCAACCAGCAAUGGGGAGAGGUGUCUAAGGUGUGUCUGGUGAGGGGGAUGAAGUCGUAACAAGGUAACC
rnacentral:rRNA from 1 species